GCCUACAGCCAUACCACCGUGAAUGCUUCUAAUCUCAUCUGAUCUCAAAAGCUAAGCAGGGUUGGGCCUGGUUAAUAUUUGUGUGGAAGAACUAUACUGAAUCAGUACUCAGCAGUGC
rnacentral:rRNA from 10 species